AAAUAUUUCCAAUGGUGAAACACUUUUUUUAAGUUCUCUAUAAUUUAAGGGACACUUAGCAAUGAACAAAGCUUAAUUAAGUCGGGUUUAUUCUUAAAUUGGUGCAACUGGUGUUCUAGUGUAUCAUACAUUUUUGCAUCCGUGUUACCAUAGAUACCCGCACUGUACGCGGAUUAAACUGUAUAUCCACUGCAUAAUAACGCUAAAAUCACAAGGAAAUAAUAGUACUGUAGCGUUUUAACUUUACCAAAAAUACAAAAAUC